AUGAAAGAACACUUUGAUUCUCACAACGUGAGUGGAAUUGACCGCCCCGAGAGAUCACUUCGGUCCCGAUGGUCGACAAUCAACUCGGAUUGUCAAAAGUGGGCGGCCGCACAAAAGGAAGUUGACAAGAUUAACCCAAGUGGCACAAAUGAGGAUGAUAGAUACAACAUUGCACAAAACUUGUUCAAAGAAGAGACGAGGACAACCAAGAAGGGGAAGAUCAAGAAAGGAAGGAUCUUUACCUUGCCUCAUUGCUAUGAAGUGUUAAAGGAUGAUGAGAAAUGGAAGAAGCGUGAAGAUUUGGAUGAUUUGCAUUUGAGCAACAAACGCAAGCGAACAAUUGAGUUGAAUUAUGAUGAGGAGGAGGAGGAUGCAUCAAGUGAUGACGGCAAGAGAAGCCCCACACCCAACUUGGCAAGAAAAGAAGCCAACGAGGUGAGGAAAAUGGCAAGGAACCAAGAUGUCGCGGCCGAGGAGAGGAGGUUGGCGGCCGAGGAGAUAAGGGUGGCGGCCGAGGAGAGGAAGGUGGCUUUGGAGGAGAGGAAGGUGAGCAAUGAGGAGAGAACUAGAUUGUUGGAAUGGGAGAAGCACUUGUUCUUCUUGGACACAUCCAACCUCAAUGAAGCGCAAAAGGAAUAUGUCAAUCUUGCCCAUGAAGAAGUGUUGAUGCAAAAAAGAGCCAUGAUUCGCACAAUGGGUGGCGGUGGCCUUGGCAGCAUGGGUGGCAGUGGCCUCGGCGGCAUGGGUGGCGGUGGCCUUGGCGGUGGCAUUGGCGGUAUGGGUGGCGGUGGCCUUGGCGGCAUGGGUGGCGGUACCAUGAGCGGUUUAGGUGCUAUGGGAGGGAUGGGUGCACCUCUGGCCGCCAUGGGAGGCAUGGGUGGAUUUGGAGCACCCCCCGGCGCUAUGGCUGUCAUGGGAAGCAUGAGUUUUGCUUCUCUUAUGGGAGGCAUGGGUGCACCUCCGGUCGCCAUGGGCGGAAUGUCUUUCGAUGUGCCUCCUCACACACAUUCCCAUAAAGAUGACGUUGAAGAUCUUGCCAACACCGUCGGAGCUUCACAUGAUGCGGUGCGUGAUGAGGAGAGGGAGGCAGAUUCAUCUUCGGAGGCGGAAGAAUCGUCUUCGGAAGAUGAUGAGGACGAAGACGAGGAAGAGGAUUGA
rnacentral:rRNA from 1 species